rnacentral:misc_RNA from 1 species
AACUCUCAACCCCCUUGUUUUGUAAUGAAGCAGGCGUGGGCUUGGAUUAUGGCUGUCUGCUGGACUCUUUAAGUAGAGAUCGGCUCGGCUGAAAUACACGAGUAACCCAGUUUGAAUAUUAACGGCUUGACUCGGCGUAAUAACUAUUACCGCUGAGGACGUCUACUUUUCAAAUCGUUAGUGGUGCUUCUAAUGCAUUUAAAACCUUAAGC